GCAUACUCUAUUAAAGGCACUUCUCACCUUCUGUCUGAUUUGACAUUGUGACAUUUUCUAUUUUUCAAUAUUGCUUUAGCAGAAUCUGCAGUUAUGGCAACAAUUUGUGACGGUGACAGCUUUUCUUUAAAUAAAACCACUGAAUUCCCUACUACUGAAGUGUGGUGUGAUCCUUUUGCUAAUCUGCAACAGUCCCCCCCUCACCCCCC